rnacentral:lncRNA from 1 species
UGUCCCCCUCUCGCCGUCCCCCCCCCUCCUCGCUCCACUCCCGGGGGCUGCCGCCGCCCGGAGCCCCGAGGCUCCCCUCGGGCGGUCCCGCGGCCACGGGGGGCGGGCGGCGCCGCUCCGCCCCGGCCCGCCCCGCCGCCCCCCCGCCGCGUCUCGACAGCAUCGCUAAAGAUAAGGGCUGCGCGGAGCCGAGCCGAGCGGAGAGGGGACGCCGCCGCGGGCCAUGGGGCAGAGACGGCGGAGCCCCGGGGCGGCAGAGCGGGGCUGUGCCGCCGAGGGGGCGGCGGGCGGCGGUGGCAGUGGCAGUGGCAGUAGUGGCAGCGGUCGCGGCAGCGGUCGCGGACGGCUGGCGGAGUCCUGGCGGCGGCUGAGCUCACGGCGAGGCUCCGCCAAACGCAGCGGAAACUCCGCGCCCGCGCCGCCGCGGAGGGUGUUUUCCUAAGUGCAACGCGGAGCGCAUCUCCUGGGAGAGCAGCGGCGGCUCCCGGCGGGGCCGCAAAGUAGCGGCUGGAGACUUGUGGCUGCUUUCCUCACGCUGGGAGGGGAGCGGCUGCGCUCUCAGGCACAGUACUUGCAGGCAGAUAGACUAACGACGCUCUCUAGGGAACCGGAGGUUUCAUCUUGAGAAGGUGUCUUCCUUGGUGGUGUUUCUGCCUUCAGUCAGCCCGGUGGGAUGUACAAAUAGUCUCUGAGGUGGAUGGACAGACAUCUUGAUGGGGAUGCAUGCCACAGCAUGGAUUGCAUGUCAGGAAAAUGAACAUCUUGGAGAGAUAUACAUGGAAAUUGAGAGAAUAAAUUGGGUAGUAAAGUCGAAGAUAAGAGUGAUACUUACUAGAGUGCUUGUGGUCUCUUUUCUGGUGAUCAGGUACCCCAGUGCUAGGUACUGGACUAAUGUAAACAAAGAUUUUGGAUGAACUGCUUACUGUCCAAGUACAACCUCAGUCCUUAUGUGCUUACAAACAGUGUUCUGCAUUCUAGCUGAAACCUAACUCUCUGAGGUGUGGAACAAUGCACCUUGUAUGCACAGAUGAAAUGUGUUGUUUCAAAAAGAAACAAAUAUUUAUAAGCUUUUGAGCUGGAAAGAAGAUGCCCACAGGUUGAGUGCCAACUGGGGAAAUAGCAUGAGGGUGAAAAGACCUACAAUAGAAAGGAUGCCAUGGCAACAAGAAAGCAUCACAGAAAGUAACGGUAUUUUCUUAUGGAGGGGGAAGAGGAAGAGAG